rnacentral:rRNA from 1 species
GACGAACGCUGUCGGCGUGCUUAACACAUGCAAGUCGAACGGAAAGGCCCUGCUUUUGUGGGGUGCUCGAGUGGCGAACGGGUGAGUAACACGUGAGUAACCUGCCCUUGACUUUGGGAUAACUUCAGGAAACUGGGGCUAAUACCGGAUAGGAGCUCCUGCUGCAUGGUGGGGGUUGGAAAGUUUCGGCGGUUGGGGAUGGACUCGCGGCUUAUCAGCUUGUUGGUGGGGUAGUGGCUUACCAAGGCUUUGACGGGUAGCCGGCCUGAGAGGGUGACCGGCCACAUUGGGACUGAGAUACGGCCCAGACUCCUACGGGAGGCAGCAGUGGGGAAUAUUGCACAAUGGGCGGAAGCCUGAUGCAGCAACGCCGCGUGCGGGAUGACGGCCUUCGGGUUGUAAACCGCUUUCGCCUGUGACGAAGCGUGAGUGACGGUAAUGGGUAAAGAAGCACCGGCUAACUACGUGCCAGCAGCCGCGGUGAUACGUAGGGUGCGAGCGUUGUCCGGAUUUAUUGGGCGUAAAGGGCUCGUAGGUGGUUGAUCGCGUCGGAAGUGUAAUCUUGGGGCUUAACCCUGAGCGUGCUUUCGAUACGGGUUGACUUGAGGAAGGUAGGGGAGAAUGGAAUUCCUGGUGGAGCGGUGGAAUGCGCAGAUAUCAGGAGGAACACCAGUGGCGAAGGCGGUUCUCUGGGCCUUUCCUGACGCUGAGGAGCGAAAGCGUGGGGAGCGAACAGGCUUAGAUACCCUGGUAGUCCACGCUGUAAACGGUGGGUACUAGGUGUGGGGUCCAUUCCACGGGUUCCGUGCCGUAGCUAACGCUUUAAGUACCCCGCCUGGGGAGUACGGCCGCAAGGCUAAAACUCAAAGGAAUUGACGGGGCCCCGCACAAGCGGCGGAGCAUGCGGAUUAAUUCGAUGCAACGCGUAGAACCUUACCUGGGUUUGACAUGGAUCGGGAGUGCUCAGAGAUGGGUGUGCCUCUUUUGGGGUCGGUUCACAGGUGGUGCAUGCCUGUCGUCAGCUCGUGUCGUGAGAUGUUGGGUUAAGUCCCGCAACGAGCGCAACCCUUGUUCACUGUUGCCAGCACGUUAUGGUGGGGACUCAGUGGAGACCGCCGGGGUCAACUCGGAGGAAGGUGGGGAUGACGUCAAGCCAUCAUGCCCCUUAUGUCCAGGGCUUCACGCAUGCUACAAUGGCUGGUACAGAGAGUGGCGAGCCUGUGAGGGUGAGCGAAUCUCGGAAAGCCGGUCUCAGUUCGGAUUGGGGUCUGCAACUCGACCUCAUGAAGUCGGAGUCGCUAGUAAUCGCAGAUCAGCAACGCUGCGGUGAAUACGUUCCCGGGGCU